AGCCUCGUGGCGCAACGGUAGAGCGCGUCUGACUCCAGAUCAGAAGGUUGCGUGUUCAAAAUCACGUCGGGGUCA